UACGUAGGGUGCAGGCGUUAAUCGGAAUCACUGGGCUUAAAGCGUGUGUAGGCGGAUGCCUAAGUACCUUGUGAAAUCCCACGGCUCAACCGUGGAACUGCUUGGUAUACUGGGUGUCUUGAGCCAUCUAGGGGCUACCGGAACAAAUGGUGGGGCGGUGAAAUGCGUAGAUAUCAUUUGGAACGCCAAUGGUGAAAACAGGUAGCUGGGGAUGUGCUGACGCUGAGACACGAAAGCCAGGGGAGCAAACGGG
rnacentral:rRNA from 1 species